AUGGCCAUAUUUGCAGUGAGAUGUAAUUUAACAUAUUUGCUUUGCCUUUCUUCCUCUCUUAUUAUCUCAUCUCCUCAGCCUACUCAUUUCCAAGUGGAUCCCAGCUACAGUACCAACUUACUAGCCUCAGAAAUCAGACUUAUGAGCGGGCUGUGUUUGCCAGUCUACAGUGAUAUAAGUUCAUUGUUGCUGAUUAUACCAACUCCUGAAGAAGGGGAUUUCCCCCCCGAAACAGGGUACAAAAAUACCUGGGAACCCCUGUUGACGUUACUUGGGACUUUAUUUGGACUUUACUUGUGAAGACCUUCUUGAGAGCGAUGCUCCAUAAUUAUUUUCUUCAUUCUGUAUACAGCAACAUGACCAACCAUCUGUUUACUUUGUUUGGAAGAUAUUUUCAUUGAUUAUGUAUCCCUGAAGCCUAUAUACAUUGGAACCAAUAUCAGACUUAGAUAACUUUUGUGUUAGAGCUUUUGCUCCUUUUCAUUUUGUCUGGUACUACCGAGUUGAGCUUUGUACGGGGAACUUUAAUAAUACUAUAUGUUAUCUGGACAUUAUAUUUUCUUUGUACAUAGACCAUCGUAUGUUUGUGUAGAUACUAACCAGCUGUGCCACAGCCCGGGAAAGUGUCACCCUUGGGGAGAGGCCCCAUGAUGACUCCAUUGGAGCCAGGAAAACACACUUUCACACUGGUGGGAGGUGGGGCCUCCGCCAGAACUCAAACAAUGUCGUGUGAUGUCCGACAUGGGGCUCCAUCCUCUAGAUGGGCUGAAAGCAUUCUAGGACUCUGAAUUCACCCCAUCUGAUAAGGUCUUUAGAUUAAUCUUUAAAUGCACCUGCCUUUGAUAAUUAAGCAACAGCCUGAAAAUGUAUUUGUUCCUAAAGGCCUCUGAUAAUUCUAUGACAGCUAUGAAAUCUGUAAAUAGAAAUGUAGUUUUGAAAUUCUGAGAGAAACGGGAGAGAGAGAGCAACUCACUAAAAUGAAAAGAGUUGGUUAUUGAGAAUCAGUGAGAAAGUAUUGAUUCAAUCUCUUGAUGCCAUGCUCUUGCUAUUAAAAAGGCCCACUGCCUGGUCAUAAAAAGAGGCUAAGAACUUGUUUCUAUAAUAUUUUUAUUAUUCUGAUAACAACUGUUUGACAUUUUCACAUUGGCUCUGUUAAUCUUCUUCCAAUACACUUUUUGCCAGAAAGGAAAGGAAUGCUUCAUAUUUUUCCCUCUAAUUUUGAGUCUCAUAUUGGAAAAAAUUCUAUUUUCUCAUAUUAUUAUGAAAUACACAUACUGAAUAAAAAGCUUCUAAUGUAUGAUUUAUGACAGUAAAAUAUAAACCAGGGCCAUGGCAUCAAUUUCAGUGACCAUUCAGAAGUUAAGCAAAAUAUUGAAAGCCCCAUAGAAAGCACAAGAACUAACCAUUUUUGCAAUGUAGAAGAAUGACAAUAGGGCCCCUACUAAAUCCCGUAUGCCAGAAUAUCUCUUAAAUUAGACUGGUGGAAGAAAAGGGGAGGGGCAAGGAAAAAGGGAACAUGGAAGCAUCUUUAAUAUUAAUAGUGAGUAUUUGAGCAUCUGGUAAACCAACAUGUUCAAAUGCGGUAUACAAUAAGUGAAUUUAUAUCCACAAAAGCUCAUGCUAAAAUAAAAACAAUUCAAUUGUAAAGAUGCUACACCUUCCCCUCCUUUCUUCCUGCAAAGGAUUAAUUAUUUUGACAACUACUAUGGUGGAAGGAAGUUACAGCUCAGCUGAGAUAUCAAGUAUCUAAUCUGGUUAAUGGAGAGAAAGAUAUUACAUCUUUGUGAGAAAACUAUUAUUUUGGAACUUGCCUUAUCCAAAAUUAGAGAAAACUGGUGGUAGCAUGCAUGGAUUUAAUAGUCUGGAAAAAACCAGGCUCCUGGGUGAACAGUCAAUCAGGACUGCCCUAAAAUGCAAGCCCCAUUUUGGCCAUGAAAGAUAGACAAGGGGAGAAUGGAAAGCCCAGUGACAACUGUUCCACACUGCUGAGCGAGGAAGAGGCAGAGCAAUGUUUUUGAAUGUCUGUCAGACAAGGACACUUGAAGAGGGAAAUGGAAAAAUCACCUGUGUUUCAAGGCAUCCCCUCCUCUCACAGUUGUUUGGGUUCAGUAGACAUUCAGAACAAUAGUGGAACUUUAUGCUAUCUCUGCCUCCUUUUUGUUGACCAGUACUGGGUUAUCUUGGGCAAGCCAUGAACUUUUAACUCAACAAAAACAAAACAAAACAAAACAUGUAGAGGUACAGUUUCUAAUCAAUGACCAACAGAAGCAUGCUGUAUGCAACUGUAAAUAUGUGCAGCAAAGUAAAGGGAAAUAUCUUAUUCUCUCAGAGUAUAGUUUUUAAUCAGGAUGCAACAUCUCUAUCUCAACUCCUAUCCAAAGGUAACCCAUGGUGUUUCUAUACAAGUUGUAUCAGAAAAACAAUGCAAAAGGAAUAGCACUGUAACCAAUUUAUAUUAGUCUGUGUUAUAUUUCAGCAGAAUGGAUUGGCAAAUCUGUCUGAGUAUUCCUUGCCUAAGAAAACCCUAUGAAAAUCACAGAACAACCACAAGCCAACAGGUGGCUUGAAGGCACAUACGCACACAUAUUCAGGAUAUAUAUAUUUUCAACAAGAACAUUUUGAACACAAACGUGCUUGGCUUAUUAAGUCUUUGCAUUAUAUCUGCCGCAUUUACAUUUGAAAGUACAAAAUGUUUCUUAUUCCACAACUGCUUUCCUUUGCAUAUUCAGCAAGUUUAAAACAAAAAGCUAAUUUCUUGUUGCUGGCGCUUUCUUUUUCUGUUUAUUUACUUCAGAGUUUUCCAGUCCUCCCAUCUUUCAGGUCAUUACAAAAAUAUAAUACAUCACUACAGACUGUGCAAAGCUGUGAUCAGGUUCCCUAUCUCCCUGUACACUACUGUUCAGGUGCUAACUGUGGAUGGCAACUGCAAAGUCCCUAUGUGUUCUUCUUAUGACUGAUUUGGGCUGCACAGUCUUAUAGUAUAUCUUUCCUUCCCUGAGCUCAGGAUGCUAUACAUGCCUACCUUCCACACAAUAACCCUGUCAGGUAGUUGGUUCAAGUGACUUAGUGAAUUUCAUGACCCCACUGGGAUUAGGAUUUCCCAAGACCCACUCCAAUAUUCCAACCACCCCUUUACACUCGUUAUUGAGCUACACAUUUGUCCUCUGCAACAUAGGAUUGUAUUUUUUCUGAAGAAGAGGAUUAUCUGAUCUCCUGCCCCCCCUCCCCCCUCCCCUUCUUCUUCUUCUUCUUCUUCUUCUUCUUCUUCUUCUUCUUCUUCUUCUUCUUCUUCUUCUUCUUCUAUGUAAGCAGCAGACCUGCAAAACUUGACCUUUGCUGAACAUUUGCAAGUGGAAAAAAUCCCAAAGCUUCUGGGCUCUUGUUCAGAAUGGCUGUUUAUACCUCAGCUCCUGGCUGAGACCUCUGGUCAGCUUUUGCCAUAAAACCAGAAGUGGAGAGGCUUCUGGGAAGUUCUAUCUUCCAAUCUGUGAGAGAAUGACAAAGAAAAGCUAUCUUAACAAUAGUAUUUCAUUUUCUCUUCAUACCUUUGUAUGAUACAUCAGCACUGGAAAAUGGGCACUUCUGUAUUUCAUUAAAUAAUAUUUCAGUCCAACUAUUAUCUUUCUCCGUCACACUUAUGCCCAAUCUUACCAGUUGGUUAUCAACAGAACAUAUCCAGAAGCUUUAUAGAUAUACAACAUUGGUUUAGAUUGCUCAAGUUGAAAGUGAAGAGAGAUCUGAACAACCUUCUGGACACGAUUGGAUCUUCUUGUUUGUUUGUUCUGGGUUUUAUUAGUGCAAUAAUUAAAUGAAGAUCAAUUUGUUCAUUUCUCUGUGUUCUGAGACCUCAAAUAGCCUCUCUAAGUGUAUGAAAAAAGGACAGUCCAGGGCAUGAAUCUUAAUCUAGUGUGGGGUCAAGGAGCCUGCAGGAAGCAAGUGGAAACAGGAUACAUGUGUCCUCUUCUCUAGGAACAAUCACAAAGAAGGUACAUCAGGGCAUGCAUACUAUGGACUUUGUAUUCAGUCUAAAUUAGUUGUGUUUUGUUCCCAUUGAAAUCUGUGGGAUUUUAGCCAUUGUCAACUUUUCACUGAUUUUUGUUUAUUUAAUCACCAGCUACAUCCAGUCAGGAACUGGAUGUACUGCAUCUAGUUAGGAACAAAAGCUGCUGUAGCAGGGGGCACUGAAGGCAAAGAUAAUUUAUUCUGGGCUCACCAGGAUUUUGUUCCAGAUUCUUGUUCAGUACUAAAACUCAGUUUUAAUAUUAAGGAACAGUUUCUCCUAUCUUGAGAUAAGGAUGUAUUUAAAAAGAAAUAGAGGAGCUGGAGCUAUUUUGGGUAGUGGGAGGUGAAUUAUAGGCAUAUCUUUGGAUGAAAGCCAUGUCAAGAGAGUCACAGGCAGGUGAAAAAGAAAUUCAAUGGAAGAAUGGACUGAGGUAAUAGAAAGAUAUACUAUGGGAUAUGUGAGAUUUUAUAGGGUAGCUUGGGAGGUGCAAUAAGUUAAAAAGAGAUGAAGCUGAAAUACAGAGGCUUCAUACACCUCAGUGGUAAAUGUUGCUGCUUGUGUUUUUAACACUCAGUGAUCUAGGUAUCCUAUCCACAGCAAUUGAGUGAUCCCAGGCAUCCCCUCUCACUUGUAAUGGAAAGACCAAAAUACAUUUGAGCACAUGCUCAUCCUAGAAUUCUGUUUUCAUUCCAGAGUUGAGUCCAGUUUUUCCUUUCCACAAAAUUCACUCUUCUACUUCCAUCAUUCAUCCCAUUAAAAAUAACAGGGUUCACAAUUGUUUGCAAUUUCACAUAUCCAUGCAAAAUCCAGUAAUGUAUCUGUGGUAGAUAUGGGGGUCAUACUG
rnacentral:lncRNA from 1 species